UAUGUAUAUGCCUUCAUAUAUAAACUGGUGGUUUAUUAAAAACACAUACUAUAUAAAAAUACUAAAAUCCAAAAAUAUUGAAAAGUUGAUUUUGGUAAGAAAUAAUAUUCAUGUGUGCAAGGUGUACUCAAUUUGCUGUUUACAGCAAGUUUCUCCAAUGCAUAUCACACUUUGUGUUUGUUGGCAGGACUACAAAGACUUUGCUCAAAUUAUAUUCUCAAAAAAUUAUUCUACUGUCAAAAUACAUUAUUUUGCUACAUAAAAUUUUGUAGUAAAUUUUUUAUUUAGAACGAAUAUCAGUUAUUUUAAAAAUUAAUUACAAAUAUUGGAUGACGUAUGAUACUUGAAUCUUUUUGUUUAUUAACACUAUGUUUGGAGGUUUGCUUAUGUUUCAUCAUAAUGUAUCAUAUUAUAUUGUAUUGUAUGGUUCUAAUGAAUACAAUGUUUGGAUAAUUCUCCGUCGUCACCACAUAUCCAUAACUUGAAUGAUAAAUCUACAAGAAAGUAGGAUAUGAGAUAGAACAACUAUGAAAAGGUUAAUUAGGUAAGGUAAAGGAUAAAAUAGAAUUGUUAAAUAAUAAGUAAAGACAAAAUGAGAAGAUAAUAUUAAGGUAAUAACGCGAUCACACCAAAUCUAUUGUUACAUAAAAUGGUUCUAACAGUGGAUUUAAAUGAUACGAAACAAUAUAAUUUCAGUAACAAUCAAAACAAACAUUGUAUGGAUCAAACUAACAAUACAACACAAUGGGUGUCAACCAAUAUCCAAACAAGGUGUAAAGCAAACCAUUAAAACUAUAGUCAUUUAGGUGCCAAUAAGAGUCGUGGAUGAAUAUGAUUCUUUCACUUUAGUUAAAAAUUUCAGGUUCGAGUUUUAAACAUGAAAAAUGAAAUCAUAUUAGAGAGAAUGACGUAACUACGAAUAUCAAACAAAACCAAAAAAAAAAAUGAUAGAAGUUGUUAGGUGUCCUUCCUUGUCAUUAGUCCUUGAUUAACAAAUCAAUAUUCCUUAAUCACCUCUUUUAUUUAUAAUCACCCCCAUGUGCUUUGCCAACGUAUUAUCAUCACCUCUAUGGCCCUACUUAUCAAAUCAUUAAUCAAACAUAUAUUCAUCAUUCAAUUAUUUUAUUUGAAUUAUAUUUGAAUUAACCUUCCAAUCAACCCCCAUUCCUCAUAUAUAAAACUCUAUUUUUAGUCAUUAUAUUUAUCUAUAAGUAGGUAAAAACACUAUUCCUAUCAAUUAUUGAUGGAUAAUCCGACCUGUUUAAUUUGUUGCAUUUGUUUUAAUUAAAUUUUCCAUUCAAGGAAUAAAACCUAUUUUUUUUCCUUUUGUCAAUAAGUAAAUAGGAGUUUGAACAUGAUUUGGUUGAAAUUUAAAAAUAUAUAUAUAUUACUAAUUGAAAUUAAGCUGGGGAAAAAUAUUUAGAAGUUAAAAUCGUGUUUAGCCAUUAAAAUAUAGUUAAAAUUUUAUAGGUGAAACGUGAAAAUACUUGAAAAUCGUCUAGAUCUUAUUUUUAAAUUUUAAAUUGAAAUAACCCCGACAAGACAAUUGCUGACACCACAACAGACCCCAUUUGGAUUUAAAACAUUUUGAAGAAGUUCAAAAUAAAAACAGCCAUUAUUUAAAAAAAAAAAGAGAGAGAGAGAGAGAAGUUAUAUUUGAACAAAAUGAUUUUUCGAAGGAAACAUAAGAGGUUUCAUUAAAGCCGCCUCUAUAUAUGUUGUCGAAUAAUAAUUUCUCCAAAUAUAAUUCUACAACACUUUGUUGUGUUUGACACAAAGAAAAAUAGUUUUCAUGAAAAAUGGUUUUGUGAAAAAUGAAUAACUUAUUAUUAUUUUUUGCUACUCUUACGAGAGUAGUUUUUUUCUUAGUAUAAUUGCUAGAGAGAUAGACCGAUACCAUUCUGAACAUGUUAUACUAACUUUGUUUUUCAAAUAUUAGGUUCACCAAUCUUUGUAUUAUAUAUUUUGGACCUAUAAUUUUUAAAAUUUAACAAUUCACAUUAAGACCUAAAGAUUAAAUCGAUUAAAUUUACAUCUUAAAUGCAUUUUUUCGUAAUAGUGCGUCAUCCUGAAUACACCUCUGUAAAAAAGUAUUCAAGUUAGUAAGAGAGCAAAGUUGGUAGAGUCAAACCAACACAUAAUUGCUCUGGCUCCAUGGUACGUAAACGGCAAACUACUUAUCCUAAAAACGUUAUAGUUGAACUUGUAUAUGAUCAAGUGAGAGCAUGCGUCCUAGUCUAACUCUUUUUAGGUUUGUUUAGUAGCGAUUUAAAUAUUACUCAAUUAUCAGUUAAAGCAAAAUGAAUAUGACUAAAUAGAGUGAUGUAAAGAGUAGUGAAUGUAAAUCCAUUAUGUUAAUGUGAUUACAAGUGAGUCUAAUAGCCUUUGCUCCAAGAGUAUCCUUGUAUGAAUAUGUUAGACAAGGUAAAAAUAAACUUGAUGCUCAAGAAUAUUGAUGUAUAUUCCUACAAACAAGCUCUUGCAGUGACAGAGGCAGGCCUAAGGGUUGCAAGCCCAUCCAAUUCAAUUACACAAAAAGAGAAACCUAUGUCGAUUAUGAAUCGAAAGUCGUCGUUCGUUAGACAAGGCCCACGUGCUGUGCAUCUCUGGUGUUCUGCUCGUGUAAGUUCUCUGUUCCAAACAUUUCCUGAAAGUAGACGACAAGUUUUAAAUCUUAAUGCAGGCAAGGCAUAUCUCGUUGAAUCAGUCUUUUUCGCCACAUCGCGUAUAAGGGGAAUCGAACCCCCUCUGCUGCUGGCCUAGCGCGCUUAAUCAAUCCGUUGCUUCUUUCCUAAUCCCAUCAUCAUUCAAACUACAAACCAUAUAAUUAACCAACCAACCAACCAGAGUUGAGUACUCAUUUAAUUGGAUGGCAGUAAUGUAAUUUGGGUAGAACAAGGAGGGCAGAUUUGAAAAGAGGAGAUUUGUUUUGACGGCGUGAUUUUUGUAGAAACCAGCGAAGCCACGUGAGCAAGUUGGAUUUAAGGUCCCACGCCACCUAUGAUUGACCCAUUUGCUAGCUGUCAAUUUCUUUUACCCAUUUUGCCCUCAAUAUUCUUUUCUAAUUCAUCAAAAUCACCUACUCCAAUCAUUAUUUCUUCAAAUUAGUCAAAACCAACCAAUUCAUAACUUGAAAUGACAAUAAUACCCUUCAAGGAAUCGUUUUGGUAGCUCGUUAGAGUUACGCCGAUAUUAGUAAUGUAUGAAUUAUUUUUAUGGGUAUUAGUUAUGCAAAUAUUAGUUAUUUCAGUUUUUUUAUAGCAUAAGAUAAUACAUAGAUUUUCUCGUAACUUAUACAUGUAUUAAUUAUGUAGAUUUUCAAACUGCAAACCAAACACGUAUUAAUUUUAUGCAUGAAUAAUUGACCUCCUAACUAGCUAUCAAACAUGAUAUUACUUGUGCAUGAUUCAAUACUUACUUAACUGAUCGCCUUCAAACUAGCUAUGAAACGACCCUUUAUUAUAUGUAUCUCAAUUGUUCAUUAGGUUCAUGUUAUCUUCCAUCAGAGCAAUUAUGACAACCAAUGUUUAAGCAAAUAAAAACUAAAUACGUACUCAAGAUGGUUUAUCUCCGUUGAGAGUCGAAUUUUAAUAUCUCAUGGUUUUUAUCUACUUAUUGACUAGUAAAUCACAUUCAUGUGAGACUUAUUAUCCAAGAAAAGAGAUAGAUAAAUGAUUAUUUUUUUUGUCUUAGUUCAGUUCAGAUUUUAAGAGUAAAAAAAAUUCUUUGACUACGACUUCUAAACAUCUUUAAAUAUUUUGAAUUGAUAAUUAUUAUAUGAUUUAUAGUACAUUAGGUUGUUUUCAAAUACGUAAUUUUCAUCUCUAACACAAUAAAAAUUCCGUGUUUAAAUUUAUGUUAAAAACUAAAACAAAUGACUCUCAAAAUUCAUACCUUCACAUAAAUUAAGACGAAUGAAGUAUUUAAAUUAAUUAUGUAAGGGUUAAUUUGGUAUUUAAAUUAAUUACUAUUUUAUUUUAUUUUCUAAAAAAUAAAAAUAAACAUGUGUGUUGUGCAAGUAUCCAAUGCUCAAUUCUACAUUCAUCCCUGUUCACAGAAAAAGCCAGAGGUGAGAAAGCAUGGUGGGGUAGGUCAUUUUGGUGAUAGACACAGGGAUAUACGAAGUGGUGGAGUCAGAAUAUUUUUUUUUAGGUUCAAAACAUUAAUAAGUAAUUCAAUAAUAUAUAAAAUCAAUAAUAAGUACUUUAUUAGUUUAGUUAUCCGUUUCGCAUAUUUACAAAUCAAUAAUUCAAUAAUAUAUAAAAUCGAAUCGAACAGACCGAUGCAAUUUGGCUCCACAGCUGGAUAUAUGUGUAAAUAAUGAGAAAGAGAAGGAGUAUUUGUAGUUGAAAAUAAGUCUUUGUUGGUAUAAGGCCUUGCCAGGUCCUUAUAUUUGGAAGCACAGUUGGCUACAAAUAGAAAAGUUAUUUUAUGAAUUGUCCACUUAUAUAUAACAACAGUUAUCUGUUAUUAUUAUUAUUUGAGAGCAAAUAUAUAAUAGCAAACAAAGAAGAGAGAGAUUUCAGUUUGCUUUCUUCAUAUUCAUGUAAGUGAAACAUACAAUACUCAAUUCUUUCUUGCUUUCUUACUACAAAAAGGUUAUGAUCAAUUUCGUCGUUAAAUUGUUCGUAGCUAAAUAAAUAAAAAUUAUAUAGAAUUAGCAACGAAUUUUGUUGUUUAGCUAUAAAAUUUGUCAUUCGUUAACUCUUACUUUUCAGUAGCUUUUUGAUAAUAUAUUGUUAAUUCAUCGCUGAAUAGGAUUAGCAACGGAUUUUAUUGUUAAUUAGCUACAGAUUUUUUUUUAUCAUUAAUUCCUAUUUUUCAGUAGUUUUUUUUGUAUAAUAUGUUGCUAAUCCAUCGAUAAAUAAGAUUAGCAACAAAAUUUGAGAACAGUAGGAUAGACUCGAGGUUAAUUCUUUCUUUUAGGUGUUCUAUCUAUUGUUAAUUCCUAUUUUUUCAGUAGUUUUUUUUUUAUAUAAUAUACUGUUAAUCCAUCGUUAAAUAUGAUCAGCAAUAAAGUUUAUUAUUUAGCUACAAAAAUUCAUCUGUCGUUAAUUCUUAUUUUUCUCAGUAGUUUGUUGCUAAUCCAUCAUUAAAUAAGACUAGCAACAUAUUUUAUUGUUUAGCUACAUAAUUUAUCAUCCAUCUCUUCGUCUUACCUAUUAAUCUUUUAUAGCAAGAAUUUUUAUCAUGUUGUGUAUUUAAUUAUUAUUUUUCUUCCUACAAAUUAAAUAUAGAUAUUUUGUGAGUAUUUGAUUUGAAAGAAAUAAAGAUGGGAUACUGGAAAGCAAAGGUUCUUCCAAAGAUCAAGCAGAUCUUUGAUAAAAAUGGACCCAAGAAGACUGCUGCUGCUGAGGCAUGCAAGACUUUUGAUGAAGCUAAGGUAAAAAAUAAAUAUAUUUAUCAAAUAUUUUAAUUUGUUAUAACAGAUAAUAUGUCUUUAUUUAAUGUUUUUUUAAAGCCUGAAUAAGUUUAUAAGUCUCAAAAAAAAAUAUUCAAGAGAGCAAAUAAAGGGUAAAAUAGUAAAUUAUUUAUUUUAUUUAUGAUUUUUUAAGAGACAUGUAAAGGGAUAAUUAAUAUGUGAUGGAGGAGAAUUAUCUCAUAAAAUCAUUUUUUUGUUAAAAAGAAUUAGAAUCAAGAAAAAAUAUAAUAUUUUUUACACAAAUAUCUUAGAUUUUAUAUACUGAUGAUGAUGUAAAAAUCCUUUAUAUUAUCACAUCAUUUAAAUAACUUUAUUUGAUAGUAUACUAAUGAUAUAUAAAAAAAAUAUUAUAUUAUCAAUACAUAUAACUUAAUUCUAUAAAAACAAUUAAUAUGAAUUAUUGUCUGCUAAAUUUCAGGAGGAGUAUAGCAAGGAGUUUGAAGAGAAGAAGACUGAGCUUCAACCCAAAGUUAUUGAAAUUUAUGAAGCUGCUGCAGUUGAGAUCAAGGUUUAUUUUUUUAAUACACUUUAUUUAUUUAUUUGUACUUUAAUAUUAUGCAAAAUUUAGCAGAAUUAUUAAAUAGUAUUCUUUUUGUUUCAAAAUGAAUGUCUAAAUAUAUUUUUUAUUAAAUAUUAAUUCUUCUUAAUAUGCUAUUUUAAAAAAAAUAUCUAAUAAAUUAGGGUAACUAAAUUAUACCAUUACUAAAAAAAGUCCCGAUUUUUCACUAGAAAAUGUUAAUAGUUAUUUCCACAAAAAUUUGAAUUGAAUCGUUGAGAAAAGAUUAAAUGGUGAGGAUUUCAUACACAAAAAUUAGGAAGCUUCCCCUAUUUUAGUGAGAAUCUAUUUCUCCUUAUGCAUCUUCUCAGUGAACUGGUUCGAUGAAAAAUGAGCUGAAGAAAAUCAUGUUGUACCGAAAAAUCUUUGUUUCUAGUGGUGACCUUACAUUUAUUAUUUUUUAAUGGAGGUGAAAUGAAUUGAAGUGACACAUAAUAAUUUUUAGAGGAAUAAAGUAUAUACAUUUCAAGUUGUGAUAACAAUAAUCGAAAUAUAGAUGUACGAUAAUAAAUCUUACACAUGUAGCAAAAAAUGAGUGCACUGAACUAGGUCUUUUUUUUUUUAUUAUUAUGAUGAUAUACAGAGUUUAGUGAAGGAACGAAAGGGUGCAGGGCUGAAGAAAAACUCAGAUGGGGUUCAGAAAUUCCUUGAUGAGCUUGUCAAGAUUGGUAAGUAAUUAUUUUUUGUAAAUUUAGAAAUAUAUUUAAGGGAUUGUGACUAAAUUUUGGUGUAUGUACUUGAAGAAUUUCCGGGAUCAAAAGCUGUUAGCGAAGCAAGUUCAAACUUUGGGCCUUCAUAUGUAUCCGGCCCAAUUCUGUUUGUGUUGGAAAAAGUUUCCACUUUUAUAGUCGUCACAGAAGAUAAGAAGGGAGAGGAACCCGCAGCUGCUGCUGAUGACGUGCAUGCAACAGCCACGUCGGUGAAGGAGAAGGAGAUAGUUAUUGAGGAGGCUGGAGAAUCAAACAAGGAUGAAGAACCUGCUGCUGACGUGACACCUACAGUCAAGGUGGAAGCACCUGCUGACGUGACACCUGCAACUAAGGUGGAAGAAGCACCCAAGGCGUGAUGAUCCAAUGUACUAAAAUUAUGUGCCGAGUCCGGAGAAGGACCAAAGGCUUGAUGAAUAUAUAUAUAUAUAUAUAUGUAUACUUCAAUUUGUCUCUGUGUCUAAAAAUUGCUUUUUUAUUUUUAUUUACUGUGAG
rnacentral:lncRNA from 1 species